rnacentral:lncRNA from 10 species
GAGAAGGGGCGGGGCCGAAGCCGGUUGCCAGGGUGUCGCGGAGCGGCUGGGAAGGAGGGGCUGGGAAUCUUGGAGCCCCUUGGCCCGCGGGGAAAGCGGGUGACCCGCCCUGCAAGUGGGAUGCCCCCUUCGGCCUUCUGGAGCGCAGGUGGGGGCGCGCGCCCAUCGGGGGCUCGCACUGCACGGAGGGUCGCGGUGCCGGGGAGCUGAGGUUGGAGGAUGCAGGGCGGCGGCCCUGGUGCACCGUGGGGGAGUUCGCACGCCGGGCAGCGAUCUUCUGCCGGGACCUGGCGUUCUUCACACACGGCUUAUUCGUGACGGAUCCACAGAGCAAUGCACUCUGAAGCCGGAGGGUAGAAAGUGCUGGAAUGCGCGCCCGGGCCCAGGCUGUCGCGAGCCUUCAGCAAGCCAGUGCACACAGAGAGGGCUGCCCAGAGAUCCCGGUCAGCGCUCGCAGUUCGAGGUGGAACAUGUGUGUGCCCUGCGCUAGCCCCAGCUCCCGGAGGUGCCCCCAGCGCGUGUGGAGGGGGGCGGUGAACGGACCCGCAAUCUGGUGGAGGCUGCGGGAAGGAGGCGCAGAGUCCAGGGGUCAGGGUUACCUUCGGGCAGGAGGACAGAUCCCUCUGCUCGGAGGUGAGGAAGACACACGAGGCGAGGUGCACACAGGCGAGGAGAGUGAGAUGGGGGGAGAAUGAGGAGUUCAGGAUACAUCUGUUUACUUCAGUCAGGGAGUGGGGAUGGAGCGGAGUAUUUGUAAAGAUGGACGGUUUAGAAUCGCCGGGAUGAGAACCGGGCAGGGAGCUGAUCAGGGAAGGGCAUGGGGAUCUCUGAGCAGCUGGGAGACCCCAGGGAAGUUUGCAGUGGCGCCUCCCACGCGGCAGCUGGGGGAGUGGAAGAAACCAAUGCUGGCUGGUCUAGAUGGAGGAGUUUGCUGGGUAGCGGUGGUCAAAGACCAGAGAGAAAAGGGAGGCCAAAAUCCUAGAGGGAGUGUUGCCCAAGAAUGGUGGAGUGCAGGGAUUCUGCCCCACUUGCCAGCAGACAGGCCAGGCUGCCAAAGUUGCAUGGGCGCUGGCAGAAAGACCCAAUACCCCUGGAGUCAGAGAGGAAAGACUACAACAGGAAACGGGCGACGCUGGUGUGCCCAGACGCAUGUUGCACCACAGCGGGUGCACUACAAAACAGGACCCUGGAUCCUGUGGACCAAUGUGGUCUUUGUCCCACAGGGAGGCUGUCUCCCCGGCAAGGGUGCCCACUGCAAGCACAGGCGUGAGAAAUGGCCCAGAAAAGAGUGGUCAGGGCAAUGUGUUCUUGGCACGCCCAGCAAGACCUGCCAGAGGGACCUACAGACGAGUGUCUCCCAGCUAUCUUACCAGCGGGGACCUUGAGGUCCAAGUAUCCAGUCCGGUUAGAAAUGGCCGCGGAUCCAACAGGUGCUGGUGAGUGGGAGAAUACCCCUGAGGGAGGAAGAACAGAGGCCGGGAGGGAGCUGAGUGGAUGUAGAUGAGAAAUACCUGGACAGCUGCAAGCUGUAGUCAGUGAUGGGCAACUGGAACCAGAGAUUCCAGAGAGAGGGAGGGAGAAAGAGGGAGGAGAAGGGAGAAUGAGAAAGAGAGGGAGAGAGAAUGGGGGGGAGAAAGAGGGAGAAUGGGGGAGAGAGGUAGGAGCAAGUUCUGGACCACGCCAAGGAUGGAGCUGUGGUCCUGGAACCAGAUGUCCAGGGAAUGGGAUGAAGUGACACUGGCUGGGGCCGAGGCUGCAGACUGCUGGUGGGAGCUGGCAGGACAAUGAGGAUUCUGAACCAGGUGCCUGAGCCUUCUGUGGAUAUGGGGAGUGACUUGGAUGUCUAUAAAUUCCAGAAAUGAUAGGAGGGAUAGAUGAUGGAGGGACUGUAUUUUAGACAAUAAACAAAUUUCACUCAGUA